CCCAUGGUCCCCUCUUCACCCCCCUCCUCCUCCUCCUCCUCCUCUUGUUAUACCGGCAUGUCAGAGCCUGUGGGAUGGGGUUCCUCUUGCAUUUACUUUCAGUCUGGAUGCUGCUGCCGCUGCUGCUCCGAUCCACUUGGAUGUCCCUCUUCAUGAAGGAGGGUCCUAUCUUUCCCACUUGAUCGCGCACUUAUUUUUUGGCGAUCCGAAAGCAACUUUAAAGAGUUCAUCCGCAUUUUUAAUCUAAACAACGGAGAGCCGAGAAGAGUUGGCCGUUGUCUUGACCGGUGCAAAGCAUGAAGUUCCUGGAGGCUGCGCGCGUCUCGGUGCUGCUGUUGGUGCUGCUGGUGGGGGAUCACCGCGGAGUGCAGGGGAAAGCGGCUCGGCUGGAGCGCUGGGUGAAAGCUGGACUGCAGUACCUGAAGGUGCACCUGUGCCGCAGGGUGGCUUUACCGGAGAGCGAGUGUCGCAGGCUCGCUCAUCUCCAUCCCAGCGGAAUAGCGGUGUAUACUUCAGAGUCUGGUUCUGGUAAAGUGCUCGCCAUCCUGCCCGACUCGCACCCCGCAUUAAAAGCGAGUCACAGUGCGGGUGCGCUUGCUGCUGAGCGCGGGCUGGAGCGGGAGCGCUUCACCGACGUGAGCGCGCAUGACGCCGUGCUCGUGCUGGACCCGAGUCCCGGAGAGAGCUUCGGCCACCCCGUCCUGCUCUUCUACCUGGACUUUAACAUGGCCAAGAAAAAGUGUGCUCAUAUGGAGGGGAUUUAUUUGGGAGAGGAGUGUAUGACUCUGGCCCUGAAGACUCGCUGUCAGAACCAGCUGAAGCGGAGAAGGAGCCGCAGCGACCGUACGAUGGACCGCACACAGAUUCGGAAGAGUGUGGUGUCCAGAACAAGCCAUACAGAGCGUAGUAAUGGCCUCUGCGAGAUCCACUUCCUGCCCCGAGUGGUGGGAGUGAGGGACAGCAACCGAACGCAGCGCCUCCGCUGUGUAGGUGGUUGGCAGGAACAGAUCACAUACCAGCAUCAUGAGCAGAAUCUGCUGCUCUUCUACCAGAUGCUAAGAAACAAUGGUUUUCAUAAGGAUCACAUUAAAACAUUCUUUGCUGGAAAUGGACAGGUAGCAGCUAAAGAGACAGAAGGAAUGUAUCCAGCCACAGAAAAGGAGGUAAUCAGGAACCAUAUCUCCUACAUCUGUCGCAAGCAGCACUGUGCAGACACAUUCGUGUUGUACCUGAACAGCCCGACCCGCAACGACGGAACCAUGCUGCUGUGGGACCGCAACAACAACGGCAUUGCAGAUCUAAAGGAGCGCUAUGCAGUAGGUGAGCUGCUGGCUGACCUUGCAGGCUGCAGGGCAAGUCGAGUUCUGCUUUUUGUUGAGCAGAGCUACACCGGAGUUCUCACUAAGAGACUAAAGGGCUCUCUUAAACACCUCAAUGUGGUGCUGCUCAACGGCCUGCCCUGGGUGAACACGGCCCAAUUCUGGGCCUCUCUGCACCCUUCCCACUGCCUCAUCGACCACCUCAGUAAGAAUGCUCUAAUGCCUCAUGUGGGUGAUGGGAUAAGCCUGCUGAACGUGACUUUGUCUGGAGCUCCCUGUAAUUCCACGCCACCUCUUUCAGAGGCUGAGAUGAAGAAGGAGUACAUGGGCUGUCAGAAUCUGCCAACAGCACUGUGGCACCAGGGCAGUCGAAAGGCUCACAACAAUGAGAGAAACUGAGAGACAAUGUUCAUUCUUCCAGUGCGGCCUCAUAAACUUCACUACCGGCAUCUAAUCUCAACUAGAGAAUGCUAGAGAUGCCAAACAUGUCUUUUUGCUCAUCUUAGUUCUUUACUAUGGAUUUUGAUCUUCGGUUGUAACAAUAGAUUCAGGCAGAAUGCUGCUAGACAAGAAUAAAAAAUGUGUGUAUAAAUUGUUGUUGCUCAAGUAGAGGUCAAACUGUCAUUAGAUGGACCCAGUCUAUCCAAAACAAAUGGACUGCGGUAAGAUGGAUGAAAAGAAACAUGCUGUCAUGAAGGCCACAGGAGUAUAUAUGGUUUAAGAGGAAGUGUUAUGUCCUCACUCUGAACCUCAGCCUUCCAUCUGCAGCAUCCCGGUGUUUGGCUCCUCCAGUGUUUUUGUCUACCCACUGUGGGGGUUCAUCCGGCGGGCAGCUGCACUUUUGCAUCUCUCCACAUUCAGAGUGUCCUGGCGCGGGUCAGUGCUCACAUCACAUCCUGGAGAUGAACCAUGGUGACUAUGCCAGUCUGACAUUUCAGGACAAAUCUAUGUUGCCCUUGCAGACAUGAAGGAGCCUAGGCAAUGCCAUCAUUUAGUCAUGAGAACUGUUCCUUCGACAAGCUCUGCCCCUUCCAAGGCCACUUUCCCGCUCUAUUUAAAAGGAGUUCUGGUUUUUCAAGCAGUUUGACCUGUAUCGGCUUUGGCCUGUAGGUGACAGAACACAAACUAGAGGAAGACAUGUAGCUGUCUCACAGGUCUCUGCUGAAAUUUAUGUACAAACUUUCAAAGAUUAAACAAGGUCAAUAUAAGUCAGGAAUAAAAAGAAAAUUAGACAUUUUUAAAAAAGCCCCAGACAAGGCCUGGCAUUAUAGUUCUGAUUAAGCUUGUUUGUGUAUACGGUAUUUAAUAUAAAGGUGUUGUAAGAUCCAAUACCUCAGUUAUCAGUUAUCCCAUACCUUCAUACCUCUUUCCUGUGUACAAACACCCCUUAAACAAUGUUCAGUGCAUGUUGGCUAAAAAAUAGUUUAACAGCGUAUACCCAAGUGUAAAACUCAGCUGAGUCAAGAAAUAUUUUUUUGUAUAGAACAGAAAUGUGUUUAUUCUGUAAAUGUCAUGUUGUGCUAAAUAAAUGAAUUUUAAUGUCACUUAAGAGGAUAUUAAUGUCCUCAUCUCAGUUGUUAAACUGUAGCUUGUGUGACCUUAUGUAAAUACUCAAAAUAAAUUAACUUUUGUACAUAACAUGUAUUU
ensembl:lncRNA